AUUGAACGCUGGCGGCAUGCCUUACACAUGCAAGUCGAACGGUAACGGGCCUUCGGGUGCCGACGAGUGGCGCACGGGUGAGUAAUACAUCGGAACGUGCCCGAUCGUGGGGGAUAACGAGGCGAAAGCUUUGCUAAUACCGCAUACGAUCUACGGAUGAAAGCAGGGGACCGCAAGGCCUUGCGCGGACGGAGCGGCCGAUGGCAGAUUAGGUAGUUGGUGGGAUAAAAGCUUACCAAGCCGACGAUCUGUAGCUGGUCUGAGAGGAUGAUCAGUCACACUGGGACUGAGACACGGCCCAGACUCCUACGGGAGGCAGCAGUGGGGAAUUUUGGACAAUGGGCGCAAGCCUGAUCCAGCCAUGCCGCGUGCAGGAUGAAGGCCUUCGGGUUGUAAACUGCUUUUGUACGGAACGAAAAGCCUUCUUUUAAUACAGGAGGGUCAUGACGGUACCGUAAGAAUAAGCACCGGCUAACUACGUG
rnacentral:rRNA from 1 species